GCGGGGCUAGUCUAGCCUGGACUAGGACGUCGGCCUUCCAAGCCGAUAACCCGGGUUCAAAUCCCGGGCCCCGCACCA
rnacentral:tRNA from 1 species